GACGAACGCUGGCGGCGUGCCUAACACAUGCAAGUCGAACGGGGUUAUUAUGGAAGUUCCUUCGGGUACGGAAGUGAUAACUUAGUGGCGAACGGGUGAGUGACGCGUGAAGAACCUGCCUUUCAGUGGGGGACAACAGUUGGAAACGACUGCUAAUACCGCAUAAUGUAAUUGAACCGCAUGAUUUGAUUACCAAAGCUUUAUGUGCUGAAAGAUGGCUUCGCGUCUGAUUAGCUAGAUGGCGGGUAACGGCCCACCAUGGCGACGAUCAGUAGCCGACCUGAGAGGGUGACCGGCCACAUUGGUACUGAGACACGGACCAAACUCCUACGGGAGUCAGCAGUGGGGAAUAUUGCACAAUGGGGGAAACCCUGAUGCAGCGACGCCGCGUGAGUGAAGAAGUAUUUCGGUAUGUAAAGCUCUAUCAGCAGGGAGAAAAUGACGGUACUGACUAAGAAGCA
rnacentral:rRNA from 1 species